GGCGGGGCUAAUACAUGCAGUCGAGCGGACAGAUGGGAGCUUGCUCCCUGAUGUUAGCGGCGGACGGGUGAGUAACACGUGGGUAACCUGCCUGUAAGACUGGGAUAACUCCGGGAAACCGGGGCUAAUACCGGAUGGUUGUUUGAACCGCAUGGUUCAAACAUAAAAGGUGGCUUCGGCUACCACUUACAGAUGGACCCGCGGCGCAUUAGCUAGUUGGUGAGGUAACGGCUCACCAAGGCAACGAUGCGUAGCCGACCUGAGAGGGUGAUCGGCCACACUGGGACUGAGACACGGCCCAGACUCCUACGGGAGGCAGCAGUAGGGAAUCUUCCGCAAUGGACGAAAGUCUGACGGAGCAACGCCGCGUGAGUGAUGAAGGUUUUCGGAUCGUAAAGCUCUGUUGUUAGGGAAGAACAAGUACCGUUCGAAUAGGGCGGUACCUUGACGGUACCUAACCAGAAAGCCACGGCUAACUACGUGCCAGCAGCCGCGGUAAUACGUAGGUGGCAAGCGUUGUCCGGAAUUAUUGGGCGUAAAGGGCUCGCAGGCGGUUUCUUAAGUCUGAUGUGAAAGCCCCCGGCUCAACCGGGGAGGGUCAUUGGAAACUGGGGAACUUGAGUGCAGAAGAGGAGAGUGGAAUUCCACGUGUAGCGGUGAAAUGCGUAGAGAUGUGGAGGAACACCAGUGGCGAAGGCGACUCUCUGGUCUGUAACUGACGCUGAGGAGCG
rnacentral:rRNA from 1 species